UACGUAGGGUGCAAGCGUUGUCCGGAAUUAUUGGGCGUAAAGAGCUCGUAGGCGGUCUGUCGCGUCUGCUGUGAAAACUCAGGGCUUAACCCUGAGCUUGCAGUGGGUACGGGCAGACUAGAGUGCGGUAGGGGAGACUGGAAUUCCUGGUGUAGCGGUGAAAUGCGCAGAUAUCAGGAGGAACACCGGUGGCGAAGGCGGGGUCUCUGGGCCGUAACUGACGCUGGAGGAGCGGAAAGCAUGGGGAGCGAACAGG
rnacentral:rRNA from 1 species